CUGAUUUAUUUGGGUGCUCUCUAAUCUACCAAGAAUGCUUUGCCAGCAUAUAUGACUAUGCGCCAUGUUUAUGCCUGAUGUUUGUGGAAGGUAGGAGAGUGCUUUGGAUCCUGUCUGGAACAUGGUCCAAGAAUGGAGUUGUAUGAAGAAAUCUCUUGGGAGAAAACUCCAGGAAACCAAGGCAAGACUCUUGUGACUUCAGUUUCUUCAAAAACAUAGAACUUAUUGGAUCAUGCUUUUAUGUCCGCCAUGUGCAGCUUGCCCUUGUGAUUGUACACUUCACUCAUGUCUCUUCUUAACCCUCAGUGUAUAAAUUGUCUGAUGCUCUGAAUAAAGUUGACUUUUGUAUAAGACUUUAGUCUGCCUCACUUAUUGGCCCCGUUCUUCUUGAUCCCAGAGCCUCUAGAGCAGUAAACAGAUCCCCUGGUACUGGAGUUAGGAUAGGUGUGAACCACCAUGUGGUGCUAGGAGUCAAACCCAGGUCCUCUGUAAGAACAGCAAGUGCUCUUAGCUGCUGAGCCAUCUCUCCAGCCCCCCAAAAGUCAUAUUUCAAAAAAAACCCAAAAUCAUUGACAUUUCUUAUCUUCGAGGCAUUGGCACAAAUACUCCCUUGCAGACAUCAUGCCCACAAAGCCAAUCUGACUGAGCAGUACCUCUAAGAUGACUUUAGGCUUUGUCAAUCUGACAGUCAAAGCUAACUAUGAUUGACCUCAUAUUUGCAUAAAAAUCUGUCUUAUAAUAGAGAUGACCUAAAAUACCUGGCAUCAUGUAAAUGCUACAACAGAAAUAGCUGCUAUGUUGUCCUUUUAGAAAAUAAUAUCAAGGAAGAAACUCUGUAUAUGCUCAGUACAGAUGUGGUAUGUGUGUGUGUGUGUGUGUGUGUGUGUGUGUGUGUGUGUGUUGGGGCUGGAACCUAAGGCUAUAUGGGCACUAACCAGGGCCCUAUUACAGAACUAUAGCCAGAUUCUGAAUGUCUCUGGCUCAUGGUUGGUUGGAAACACAGAUGGGUAACUUGUGUGCAUAAAGGCUCCUUGCAGGUUCAGAACCGAGGAAAACCUGCCUCCCAUUUUGUCUGUCAUCUGCUCAGCUCUCUCUAGUCACAAGCAAUGGACUCUUUUUUAAAACCUGUCCCUAUGUAUUCUUCCAGAAUUUUAUACCCAUAAAUACAAGUUAGUACAAAUCUAUAUUUGCUCCUCUAACAUUUAGCAUUUAAUCCUAAAGUGAAACCCAUCCCUUAGCAGUCUUUCCUGGAGGCCUGCUCAAAGUGGCACUGCCUUCUUGUCCCCAUUCUUCCAUUGCUGUAAAGUGCUCCACAAUAAUAGAGUGUGGCCAACAGAGGCUGGCCAGGCUCCAGCCGUUCACUUUGUACAGGCUCCAAUGGACAGCAGCUUGGGUCAUGUCUAAAUACAGCAUCUCACUGGGCCUGGGGGAGGGGACAGACCUGUCAUCCUGGCUACUUGGGAGGCUGAGGUAGGAGAAUCACAAGUUCAUGACUGGCCUCAAGUCAAAGAAAUCAAAGAGGGCUGGAGAUGUACUUCAGUUUUUGAGCACGUGCAUGGUACAUAUGAGGCCCUGGGUUGAAAUCUCCAGUAUUACAACAAUAAAUAAAUACAUUAGAAAAUUAUAAAUAGAACAUUUUUGUCUCAGCUGUGGAUCCUAGGUCACCUCCAAAUUCUCACAUCUCUGAGUGACUAUGUUGCUAUAUAUAUUUUUCUUCUCUUCCCCAGAAAUCUUCUCUAGAGCAAGCACUAGAAACAGCAUUGAAUCAGCGUGUCUCAUGUUUAGCUUCCUGUAUGUUACCUGAUCAACUCUGUUUGCCUACUGGAGAGCCUGGGGCCAUGAAAUGACGGUCAUGGUCUGAGAGCAACUGAAGAUUUUCCACAGGCCUCUUGGUGGCAGUUGGGACAUGACUGAGACAGAGUCCAGAAUCUGACACCUUGAACUGUGGACAAGCAUCGACAUCAAGCAGCUGGCCUGUCCCAUCUAUUCCUUGGCAAGAGUAGCAUCAAAAGAAUAUAAAAGAACCCGGGCCCUCGGGAUUUGGUAGCCGUAAGGUACUGCUCAGACGAGGGAGAUGUUGGGGGAGGGUUCCGUAGGCUGCCAGCCUUGCCUGGGAUCUGAUCUCUGCAGCUGAUUGUCCCAGUUCAGAUUGUCCCAGCUCUUCACUGUCAACAGGAACUGGAAAGUAAGCCUUGGUAUGGGCUUUCUGUGCUUACAUAGUGGCAAUAACAGCACAGCAUGGUUCAUACCGUGGUAGCUGAAAGAGAGGCAAUGUCUGCUGGGACCUCAAGCAACAAUGAGGCUAUUCAUUUGCCAUCUACACAUAUCUUCUUUGGGGAUGUAUCUAUUCAAACCCUUCAUGCAUUUUCACUGGCUGGAGGCUUUCUCACUCUCCAGUUGUAGGAGGUUUUUCACAUAUUCUAAUACAAGUCCUGCAUCUGAAAUGUUUUGUGAAGAUCUUUUUCUCAGCUUGCUUUGAACAUUAAACAAGGUCAUUAACACUUAGUAAGUGGGUGCUAUAAUCACUGUCAAUAUUGCCAUAGCUAGUUCAUUGCUCUAUUAUGAUACUGUGGCUAGGGGCAUGGGCCCUUAGCUCAGAACUGCCAAU
ensembl:lncRNA